AAGCGGAAAUAAGAAGGGCUUCCCUGUUCCACUCCCCGGUGUGUUGUACUCGAGCUUUAUUUGCCUAGCACCACCUACUGACAGGGAGGGAUUGCGUGAUGACGUGAUAUCUACUAGCCCCUACAGAUCAGAACUGGCAGAUCCAAAUACUCCAGAUCAGGACCCCAGAAAGUCAAUUUACUGUACAGAACAUGUAAAACAAC